GAUGAAGAACGUAGCGAAAUGCGAUAAGUAAUGUGAAUUGCAGAAUUCCGUGAAUCAUCGAAUCUUUGAACGCACAUUGCGCCCCCUGGUAUUCCGGGGGGCAUGCCUGUCCGAGCGUCAUUGCAACCUUCAAGCGCGGCUUGUGUGUUGGGUCUCGUCCCCCGUGGACGGGCCCGAAAGGCAGUGGCGGCGUCCCGACAUGGUGCCCGGGCGUAUGGGAAUCCUCUUCCGCUCGAAUCGGCCCAUGCGGCGCUGGUCGUAACCAAAUUUUUUACCGGUUGACCUCGGAUCAGGUAGGGAUACCCGCUGAACUUAAGCAUAUCAAUAAGCGGAGGA
rnacentral:misc_RNA from 1 species